rnacentral:rRNA from 11 species
CGAAGGUACGGGAAAAGGAUUGGCUCUAAGGGUUGAUUUGAAGAAAACUAUUAAUGCUGUUAAUUUUUUGUAUUUUUGGAUGUUCCAAUCAGUAUGAAAAAGAAAACGAUAAAUUAAUAGGGAAUUUAGACUCAAGAAAAUUUUUUUUUUUUUUGUUUAAAUUUAUUUUUCAAAAACUUAACAACCAACUUAGAACUGGUACGGACAAAGGGAAUCCGACUGUUUAAUUAAAAGAGAGCAUUGUGAUGGCCUCAAA